GAUGAAGAACGCAGCGAAAUGCGAUAAGUAAUGUGAAUUGCAGAAUUCAGUGAAUCAUCGAAUCUUUGAACGCACCUUGCGCCCUUUGGCUAUUCCGAAGGGCAUGCCUGUUUGAGUAUCAUGAACACCUCAACUCUCGUGGCUUGCCAUGAUGAGCUUGGACUUUGGGGGUUUUGCUGGCCUAUGGGUCGGCUCCUCUCAAAUUAAUCAGCUUGCCAGUGUUUGGUGGCAUCACAGGUGUGAUAACUAUCUACGCUUGUGGUUUUCCAUCAGGUAACCUUCAGUGAUGGAGGUUCGCUGGGGCUCAUAAAUGUCUCUCCUCAGUGAGGACAGCUUUUUUGAACGUUUGAUCUCAAAUCAGGUAGGACUACCCGCUGAACUUAAGCAUAUCAAUAAGCGGAGGA
rnacentral:misc_RNA from 1 species